AUCUUGGUUCAGGACGAACGCUGGCGGCGUGCCUAAUACAUGCAAGUCGAACGGUCUUUCUAUGGAAGCUUGCUUCCACUGAGAAGAUAGUGGCGAACGGGUGAGUAACACGUGGGUAACCUGCCCAUAAGAGGGGGAUAACAUCCGGAAACGGGUGCUAAUACCGCAUAGUUUUCUUGAUCGCAUGAUCGGGAAAGGAAAGACGGCCUUUGUGCUGUCGCUUAUGGAUGGACCCGCGGCGUAUUAGUUAGUUGGUGAGGUAACGGCUCACCAAGACGAUGAUACGUAGCCGACCUGAGAGGGUGAUCGGCCACAUUGGGACUGAGACACGGCCCAAACUCCUACGGGAGGCAGCAGUAGGGAAUCUUCCGCAAUGGACGAAAGUCUGACGGAAGCAACGCCGCGUGAGUGAUGACGGCCUUCGGGUUGUAAAGCUCUGUCUUCAGGGACGAUAAUGACGGUACCUGAGGAGGAAGCCACGGCUAACUACGUGCCAGCCGCAGC
rnacentral:rRNA from 1 species